GUCCGGAUCUGUCCGGAUGACCGCAGGGGCAGGCCACACCAGGCUGCGCUUGUCAUACCUGUGAAGAGUGGGAGGCCAGGCAUGAGCCAUGUCAGUCAUGUGCUGGAUGCUGCAAUGACAGGAGCAAGGUUUCCUGGGGGGUCUUGAUGUCCCAGCGAGCCCUGACCUUGAACCCCCUGCUUCGGUGUGAGCACGAAGAUGGCUCAGGUUGUCCCUUUGAGCACCUGGCUUUGUGACCCAGAGAAGAGGAGGCUGUUCAAAGCUGUAACAGAGCUCUGUACUUGUACCGGCUUUACGGUUGCUGGAGACAGUCGCCCCGAGCAGUUCAGAAAGGCCAAGGUAGACGUGCACACUCAGCGAGCUCACGCCCGGACCGUGCCUUUCCUGCCCUGCCCCACCCC